GCCUGUGGCAUUAAAUUUCCUUCCUUAGAAUUGCAUAGAAUAAUUGAUAUAGCGCCAGAAAAGGAACAAAGGCAAAACAAGGGUAAACAGAACUAAUUCUCAAUUGAUAAUCAUACUCAAAAGUACUGAAUAAUAGAAAAUAGCUAUGUUGAUAGAGGUUACAACCCUAAUCAAAUUAGGACUACGAAACCCUAAUACAUAUCUAAUUAGAAAUAUAAGAUAAACUAGAAAAUAAUAG
rnacentral:misc_RNA from 1 species